AUUGAACGCUGGCGGCAUGCUUUACACAUGCAAGUCGAACGGUAACAGGGUGCUUGCACCGCUGACGAGUGGCGAACGGGUGAGUAAUGCGUCGGAACGUGCCGAGUAGUGGGGGAUAACGCAGCGAAAGUUGUGCUAAUACCGCAUACGUACUGAGGUAGAAAGUGGGGGACCUUCGGGCCUCACGCUAUUCGAGCGGCCGACGUCUGAUUAGCUAGUAGGUGAGGUAAAGGCUCACCUAGGAGACGAUCAGUAGCGGUUCUGAGAGGAUGAUCCGCCACACUGGGGCUUAGACACGGCCCAGGCUCCUACGGGAGGCAGCAGUGGGGAAUUUUGGACACUGGGCGAAGGCAUGAUCCAGCCAUGCCGCGUGUCUGAAGAAGGCCUUCGGGUUGUAAAGGACUUUUGUCGGGGAGGAAAUCCCCAGCGUUAAUACCGCUGGGGGAUGACAGUACCUGAAGAAUAAGCACCGGCUAACUACGUGCCAGCCGCCGCGGUAACAC
rnacentral:rRNA from 1 species